ACAGCAGUAGCCACGGUAAAACGUAGGUGGCAAGCGUUGUCCGGAAUUAUUGGGCGUAAAGGGCUCGCAGGCGGUUUCUUAAGUCUGAUGUGAAAGCCCCCGGCUCAACCGGGGAGGGUCAUUGGAAACUGGGAAACUUGAGUGCAGAAGAGGAGAGUGGAAUUCCACGUGUAGCGGUGAAAUGCGUAGAGAUGUGGAGGAACACCAGUGGCGAAGGCGACUCUCUGGUCUGUAACUGACGCUGAGGAGCGAAAGCGUGGGGAGCGAACAGGAUUAGAUACCCCCGUAGUCCCUGUCUCUUAUAC
rnacentral:rRNA from 1 species